CGGCUCUUUGCCUCUAAUUUAAACAUAAAUCAAGUUCAGAAUUGCAGCCUUGUGAAAACCUGGUAAUGUGCUUUCUUACCUUUCAGAUAUUGGACUUUUCUACCCAAUAGCAUGUUCUUUUAUCCUUUUUUUAUUUGCUUUUCCACUAGUAACUUUAUGUUAUGUGUGUGCUUUGUAAAUAUAAUGUAAUUUAUCUGACAGAAGUUUGGCAGGCAAUGCACAGGGGUGAUGGUGUCAGAAUGAUUGGGGAGCAGACUGCCUGGGGAAGGAAAAUGUGGCUUUUGAUGUUAAAUUGUAGGGUGACUUUGUGCAGUUCAUGUAACUUUUAUGCACCCCCACAUUCCUUUUCUGCAAUGGCAUUUCCAUAUGGCAUGAGCAGGAGAAGAGUCGGUGUCUGCUAUCUGGGAAAUGGAAACAUAACCUAACCAAACACUCCAAUUUCAUCCUUUUCUUCUUAUAGUGAGCCAUGAAGUCAGCAAUGGUGUGUCUGGGUAACCACUGUACCCACAGCUCUAGAAUGAUGCCUGACCCAUGGAAGAGGCUGCUCAUUAUUUAUUUCCUGGAUUCACUAUGAAUGGAUCAAUCAACAAAUGGAUUAUGGGCAUUAUUUGUGAUGUCAUGUAUGCAUGGAUAAAAAUACUGAAAUACAUAUGCCCCACAUAGAACACCAGCAUGACCUCAUCUAGGCAGGUAUGUUUGUGAGUGUGGGCUUCCUGAAGACUGGAAGACUAGGCAGCCUCCAGGAAGAAGCUGUGGGGGAGGGUGGUGGUGUGGUUCUCUUCUCAGUUUUGACAGGAACCGUCAUUCCAGGGUUCUGGGAUGUCCUGGGCUAGGCCUUCACAGCAUCCUGAAUUUCUCCCCUAGCCAACUAUGUGGCCAAUCUCCAUGAAAGAAAAGGACCUUUCUUCCUGUGCUUUAACUUCAAACUGGGGUCAAAGGCCUUAGGCUGGUUUGAAAAUAAAUAAAGGCCCUGCGUAGACAAAAGCCAUUCUGGAGCCAGCCCUUGCUGUAAACACCAGCCUUCCUCUCCUUGGACCAGAAGUUUCCAGGCGCUUCCCUGGACUCACCAUGACCUCACUUAGCCCAAAGACCUGGUGGUGGUGACGGCGCUGGUGGUCUUCUGGAAAGAGCCAGAGAGGCUUCUAAAGGAAGUCGGAAGUGGAUCUCUGAAAAACAAAACAUGUCUAUGCAUUCUCAAGUUUAGUAUGAAUUUUACUUUUAUAAAGUGUAUGUAGAAAGGGAGUGGAGGAUGCAGCCAUGAUAUUCAAUGCAUAUACUAUGAAACUAGGAGCAUUGAAGGGAAAGGGAGGGUUUGAAAAGAUGGAGGAGAAUAACGAAAAGGGUGAUAUUGCUCAAGAUGCAUUGUACUCACAAAGACAUGUUGAAUGGUAACCCUGGCGUACAACUACUUAAAGGUGAAAAAGAAUAUAUAGUAUACUAGUCAUAAAGGAUAACAUAGCAUCAAUACACUUUAGUGUAAAUUCCAGACGGUGCAUUGUAUCUAGAGUUCCUACGGUUGCAAUCAGAUAACAAGUAUGCUAUUGACAUGAAUGCUGGCUGAGUUUUGUGAACAAGUAACAUGAAAAUGGAAUAACAAAGAUGUGGGAAAACUGCUCAUGUGUCAAUGAUGUGACUCUUUGCUUAAUCAGAAAGACAACUGUCUCCACCUUCUAUGCCCAUUUCAAUAUAACUGCUAGAAUUGUUACAGUUUUAAGUAUAAUCUUCACGAUUAGCAUCACAUUGUUAAGUCUAGACCAUCGACCAAAGUAAAAGUGAAGCUUGAUUUGUAGCACUUGCACAUUUCUGUGAUAUAAACCAUCCCACAUUGGCCAAUUUCAAUCUGUGAAAGAUGCUGUGGGACUCAGCCUAUCUGUUCCUACUUGAAAUGCCAGAGGAAGCACAGAACCUAGUAAACUCAACUAGUUAGGAGUAAUGAGUUCCACCCUAUUAUCUCUUAUUAACGUCAUAUAUUUAAACACAGGUUUAUAAUUUUUAUAUAACUUAACUUUCAAUAAUGGCUGUAUGAUCUCUAAAAAUUCUACCCAACUUAACAGUUGUCUUUCAGGACUAUGUAAUCAGGGGCAAUCCCAGGAGCCCCAGAACAGAGAAGGAAGAUGAGACUUAUCAGUGAGUGGGCUCCAUGCUGGGUGGACAAGUGGGUACCUAGCCCUGAAACUGACAUGGGAAAGUAAUUCCUGGGACCCACUGGAGAGGCAAAAGAAAUCGAAAAGGGACUUUUUUUUUUUUUUGCCAGAGUACAGAUGAGAUUCUCCCAUAACCGUCGGGUAGCGCUGGGAAAUUCUUGACACCCAUGACUUUUACUGCUCGGUAUUUUGCUUUGUUGUUGAACUUACUGUGUUAAAACAUGCAGUUGCUUGGCCAUUUGAGUCUAUAUGGAAGCUGUUGUCUGAUUGCUUCCCUUGUCAGGGCAUUGUUUACCAAGCACAGGUGUGAGAAGUUUGACCUCCAAAUUGGAGAUACAGUUUGGAAGCUAAUGACAGAUAUUUUGAUGUCUGUUAUUUGAUGCUUUGGCCCAUAUGUAUAACUGCAGUAUUAAAAGCAUGGACAAUA